AAGGAAUAUUGGGCAAUGGACGCAAGUCUGACCCAGCCAUGCCGCGUGAAGGAUGAAUGUCCUAUGGAUUGUAAACUUCUUUUAUGCAGGAAAAACAUCCCGGUCGUGAACCGGGACUGAUGGUACUGUAUGAAUAAGCAUCGGCUAACUCCGUGCCAGCAGCCGCGGUAAUACGGAGGAUGCGAGCGUUAUCCGGAUUCAUUGGGUUUAAAGGGUGCGCAGGCGGAAUAAUAAGUCAGUGGUGAAAUCUCCCGGCUCAACCGGGAAACUGCCAUUGAUACUGUUAUUCUUGAGUACAGUUGAAGUGGGCGGAAUGUGUCAUGUAGCGGUGAAAUGCUUAGAUAUGACACAGAACACCGAUAGCGAAGGCAGCUCACUAAGCUGUAACUGACGCUCAUGCACGAAAGCGUGGGGAUCAAAC
rnacentral:rRNA from 1 species